UACGUAGGGUGCGAGCGUUGUCCGGAUUCAUUGGGCGUAAAGGGUGCGUAGGCGGCGCGGUAAGUUGGGUGUGAAAUCUCGGGGCUUAACUCCGAAACUGCAUUCGAUACUGCCGUGCUUGAGGACUGGAGAGGAGACUGGAAUUUACGGUGUAGCGGUGAAAUGCGUAGAUAUCGUAAGGAAGACCAGUGGCGAAGGCGGGUCUCUGGACAGUUCCUGACGCUGAGGCACGAAGGUCAGGGGAGCAAACGGG
rnacentral:rRNA from 1 species